GCCUAGGAAUCUGCCUGGUAGUGGGGGAUAACGUCCGGAAACGGACGCUAAUACCGCAUACGUCCUACGGGAGAAAGCAGGGGACCUUCGGGCCUUGCGCUAUCAGAUGAGCCUAGGUCGGAUUAGCUAGUUGGUGGGGUAAUGGCUCACCAAGGCGACGAUCCGUAACUGGUCUGAGAGGAUGACCAGUCACACUGGAACUGAGACACGGUCCAGACUCCUACGGGAGGCAGCAGUGGGGAAUAUUGGACAAUGGGCGAAAGCCUGAUCCAGCCAUGCCGCGUGUGUGAAGAAGGUCUUCGGAUUGUAAAGCACUUUAAGUUGGGAGGAAGGGCAGUAAAUUAAUACUUUGCUGUUUUGACGUUACCGACAGAAUAAGCACCGGCUAACUCUGUGCCAGCAGCCGCGGUAAUACAGAGGGUGCAAGCGUUAAUCGGAAUUACUGGGCGUAAAGCGCGCGUAGGUGGUUCGUUAAGUUGGAUGUGAAAUCCCCGGGCUCAACCUGGGAACUGCAUUCAAAACUGACGAGCUAGAGUAUGGUAGAGGGUGGUGGAAUUUCCUGUGUAGCGGUGAAAUGCGUAGAUAUAGGAAGGAACACCAGUGGCGAA
rnacentral:rRNA from 1 species